GAUGAAGAACGUAGCGAAAUGCGAUACUUGGUGUGAAUUGCAGAAUCCCGUGAACCAUCGAGUCUUUGAACGCAAGUUGCGCCUCAAGCCAUUAGGUUGAGGGCACGUCUGCCUGGGCGUCACAUAUCGUUGCCUGAUGCCAGUUUCCUCGUGAUGGGUGACUGUGCAGGGCGAAUGAUGGCUUCCCGUGAGCAUUGUUGCCUCAUGGUUGGUUGAAAAUUGAGUCCUUGGUAGGGAGCGCCGUGAUAGAUGGUGGUUGAGUGACGAACGAGACCCAAUCAUGUGAGACCCCUACCGAAUUUGGCCUUCAUGACCCACAUGCGUCUUUGGAACGCUCAUGACGAGACCUCAGGUCAGGCGGGGCUGCCCGCUGAGUUUAAGCAUAUCAAUAAGCGGAGGA
rnacentral:misc_RNA from 1 species